rnacentral:lncRNA from 1 species
GUCCGAUAUUUCUCUGUACAGACCUCGCGUUCGGUAAAUAAGAAGUUAUUAAUCUUGUGGAACAAUAAAGACUUUGUUUGAAAAUUAACAUGCGACUCUGUGAUCUCAUCGUGUUAUUCUCCUACUUUAGGGCUCACCAGGUGCUAUAGGACCUAAGGGUUCUAGAGGUCUACCGGGUUCACCUGGCGAGAAAGGAAACGAAGGACCUUCCGGAGUCAAUGGACCACAAGUGAGUACAUAUUCAUUAUUUGUGGUGGUGAUGAUGGUGGUGGUGAUUUGAUGAUGGUGGUG